CUCUAGAGUCAUUAUUCAGUCAAGAAAUCUGCAGCAGUUCUUGGGAUAGGAAGUGAAAAUGUUGUGCUGGUGAAAUGUAAUGACCGGGGAAAGAUGAUCCCUGCAGAAUUGGAGUCAAGUAUCAUUACUGCCAAAGAUCAGGGUUGUGUCCCAUUCUACCGUCAAUGCCCACAGCAGGCACCACUGUGUACGGAGCCUU